UACGGAGGGUGCGAGCGUUGUCCGGAAUCAUUGGGCGUAAGGGCGCGUAGGUGGCCCGGUCAGUUCGUGGUGAAAGCGCGGGGCUCAACCCUGCGUCGGCCAUGAAUACUGCCGCGGCUGGAGCACUGUAGAGGCAGGCGGAAUUCCGGGUGUAGCGGUGGAAUGCGUAGAGAUCCGGAAGAACACCGGUGGCGAAGGCGGCCUGCUGGGCGAGUUGCUGACACUGGAGGCGCGACAGCGUGGGGAGCAAACAGGG
rnacentral:rRNA from 1 species